UGGCGGACGGGUGAGUAACGCGUGGGUAACCUGCCUUACACAGGGGGAUAACACCUGGAAACAGGUGCUAAUACCGCAUAAGCGCACAGGGCCGCAUGGCCCGGUGUGAAAAACUCCGGUGGUGUAAGAUGGACCCGCGUCUGAUUAGCUUGUUGGCGGGGUAGAGGACCACCAAGGCGACGAUCAGUAGCCGGCCUGAGAGGGUGGACGGCCACAUUGGGACUGAGACACGGCCCAAACUCCUACGGGAGGCAGCAG
rnacentral:rRNA from 1 species